rnacentral:rRNA from 1 species
UACGAGGGGUGCAAGCGUUGCUCGGAAUCACUGGGCGUAAAGCGCACGUAGGCGGACUCUUAAGUCGGUGGUGAAAUCCUGGAGCUCAACUCCAGAACUGCCUUCGAUACUGGGAGUCUCGAGUUCGGGAGAGGUGAGUGGAACUGCGAGUGUAGAGGUGAAAUUCGUAGAUAUUCGCAAGAACACCAGUGGCGAAGGCGGCUCACUGGCCCGAUACUGACGCUGAGGUGCGAAAGCGUGGGGAGCAAACAGG